AACAGUCCGAUGGAGCGGUACUAUCGCUAGGGAGCGGUAGUAAAAAAUUACUACCGCUCUGGGGGUGGUACUACAUCUCUGGGGGUGGUACUACCGCUACAGGAGCGGUACUUCCGCUAAAGGAGCGGUACUACCGCUGGCACCAGGAGCGGUACUACCGCUGGAUAUUGAAACUGUUGUAACUUUCGCAUACGGACUCCGAAUUCAACGAAACCAAGUUUGUUGGAAAGCUAACGACAUGGGAUAACAC
rnacentral:lncRNA from 1 species